rnacentral:lncRNA from 1 species
GUACUAUUGCGGCCGCCCUCUGCUGCGCCUGAAGAGAGAGGCGACUCUACAAGCCUCACAGCAUGCACUGUUACUAAAAAGACGAUGCGUCCUCCUGGACCUGAGAUCUGUGUGAUCGUGGGAAAGCGACGAAAAACGAACAAAGGAACAGUAAAUGGAGUAACUUGGCUAGAAUAUGGCAGUAACUACAAGGCAUGUUCUGCUCUGGCACGAAGACAACCCACCUGAGGCACCAGACACAUGAGUGAAGCCAUCUUGGACAUCCCAGUCACAGCCAAACUCACUCCUGAGUGCAUCUGCAUGAUGAACCCAGCAAUCCCCACCAUGGAGCAAAGGAUCCAUCCAGUCAACCCAAAGAAUCGUGAAAAAUAAUAAAUUGUUGUUUUAAAGUUCUUCAGUUUGGGAAUAGCUUGUUAUGCAACAAUACAUAAUUAAUACACUGGUCUCCCACUUUCAAGUUUGAUU